GAGGUUGUGGCUCAGCGGUAGAGCGCUCGCCUAGCACAUGAGAGGCACUGGGUUCAAUCCUCAGUACCACA
rnacentral:tRNA from 1 species